rnacentral:rRNA from 1 species
GACGAACGCUGGCGGCGUGCUUAACACAUGCAAGUCGAGCGGGAACCUCGGCAGGGGUAACCCUUCCGAGGGGAGAGCGGCGAACGGGUGAGUAACACGUGGGCAACCUGCCCCGGACACCGGGAUAACCCACGGGAAACCGUGAGCUAAUACCGGAUACUCCGGCACGAUCGCAUGGUCGUGCCGGGAAAGCUCCGACGGUCCGGGAUGGGCCCGCGGCCUAUCAGCUUGUUGGUGAGGUAACGGCCCACCAAGGCGACGACGGGUAGCUGGUCUGAGAGGACGGCCAGCCACACUGGGGACUGAGACACGGCCCAGACUCCUACGGGAGGCAGCAGUGGGGAAUCUUGCGCUAAUGCGCGAAAGCGUGACGCAGCGACGCCGCGGUGGGGAGUGAAGG